CCUACGGGGGGCAGCAGUGAGGAAUAUUGGUCAAUGGCCGAGAGGCUGAACCAGCCAAGUCGCGUGAGGGAAGACGGCCCUACGGGUUGUAAACCUCUUUUGUCGGGGAGCAAAGCGAGUCACGUGUGACUCAUUGAGAGUACCCGAAGAAAAAGCAUCGGCUAACUCCGUGCCAGCAGCCGCGGUAAUACGGAGGAUGCGAGCGUUAUCCGGAUUUAUUGGGUUUAAUGGGUGCGCAGGCGGAGGUUCAAGUCAGCGGUCAAAUUGCGGGGCUCAACCCCCUACUGCCGUUGAAACUGCAUCCC
rnacentral:rRNA from 1 species